UACGUAGGGCGCGAGCGUUGUCCGGAAUUAUUGGGCGUAGAGAGCUCGUAGGCGGCCUGUCGCGUCCGCUGUGAAAUCCCGGGGCUUAACCCCGGGCCUGCAGUGGAUACGGGCAGACUAGAGGUAGGUAGGGGAGAAUGGAAUUCCCGGUGUAGCGGUGAAAUGCGCAGAUAUCGGGAGGAACACCGGUGGCGAAGGCGGUUCUCUGGGCCUUACCUGACGCUGAGGAGCGAAAGCGUGGGGAGCGAACAGG
rnacentral:rRNA from 1 species